rnacentral:rRNA from 1 species
GCGUAAAGCCCCCCGNCGGCCAGUNAAGGCGGGCNCGNCGAAGCAACAAGGUNAAAUAAACACAGUANGAGGUUGGACCCAGANGGCCCNCACUCGUAAUNGANCCUUCCGUAGGUGAACCUGCGGAAGGAUCAUUACCGAGUGAGGGCCCUCUGGGUCCAACCUCCCACCCGUGUUUAUUUUACCUUGUUGCUUCGGCGGGCCCGCCUUAACUGGCCGCCGGGGGGCUUACGCCCCCGGGCCCGCGCCCGCCGAAGACACCCUCGAACUCUGUCUGAAGAUUGUAGUCUGAGUGAAAAUAUAAAUUAUUUAAAACUUUCAACAACGGAUCUCUUGGUUCCGGCAUCGAUGAAGAACGCAGCGAAAUGCGAUACGUAAUGUGAAUUGCAAAUUCAGUGAAUCAUCGAGUCUUUGAACGCACAUUGCGCCCCCUGGUAUUCCGGGGGGCAUGCCUGUCCGAGCGUCAUUGCUGCCCUCAAGCACGGCUUGUGUGUUGGGCCCCGUCCUCCGAUCCCGGGGGACGGGCCCGAAAGGCAGCGGCGGCACCGCGUCCGGUCCUCGAGCGUAUGGGGCUUUGUCACCCGCUCUGUAGGCCCGGCCGGCGCUUGCCGAUCAACCCAAAUUUUUAUCCAGGUACCUCGAUCAGUCG